rnacentral:lncRNA from 1 species
UUUUAUUCAGAUAUGCUUAUGGAUAAUUAUUGUUGAUUGUCAUUGUAGAAUUGUACUCUGUAUAUAUUGCAUGUAUAAAUCAGGUAUGAAAGGCUGAUCACCUUCAUUACCAUUCGGUCCAGAUAUAUUUGUUCAUGUUUAAUACUUGUUCAGUCAAAAGUUUGUUCGUGCUAGUUCGCAAUUAUAUUGUUGAAUUAUAGCCAGCUGAUUAUUCAAAUCCUUUCAAUCAUGAUAUAUCGUUAAAUUAUUGAAUUUAAACUUGUUGGGC